AGUGAACGCUGGCGGUAGGCCUAACACAUGCAAGUCGAACGGCAGCACAGGAGAGCUUGCUCUCUGGGUGGCGAGUGGCGGACGGGUGAGGAAUACACCGGAAUCUACUCUGUCGUGGGGGAUAACGUAGGGAAACUUACGCUAAUACCGCAUACGACCUACGGGUGAAAGCAGGGGACCUUCGGGCCUUGCGCGAUUGAAUGAGCCGAUGUCGGAUUAGCUAGUUGGCGGGGUAAAGGCCCACCAAGGCGACGAUCCGUAGCUGGUCUGGGAGGAUGAUCAGCCACACUGGAACUGAGACCCGGUCCAGACCCCUACGGGAGGAAGCAGUGGGGAAUAUUGGACAAUGGGCGCAAGCCUGAUCCAGCCAUACCGCGUGGGUGAAGAAGGCCUUCGGGUUGUAAAGCCCUUUUGUUGGGAAAGAAAUCCAGCUGGCUAAUACCCGGUUGGGAUGACGGUACCCAAAGAAUAGCACCGGCUAACUUCGUGCCAGCAGCCGCCGUAA
rnacentral:rRNA from 1 species